CCCUUAGAUGUUCUGGGCCGCACGCGCGCUACACUGACGGAGUCAACGAGUUGUCCUGCAUCGGAAGGUGUGGGUAAUCUUUUGAAACUUCGUCGUGCUGGGGAUAGAUCUUUGCAAUUUUCGAUCUUGAACGAGGAAUUCCUAGUAAGCGUGAUUCAUCGGAUCGCGUUGAUUACGUCCCUGCCCUUUGUACACACCGCCCGUCGCUACUACCGAUUGAAUGGUUUAGUGAGGCCUCGGGACUGGCGCGCUCGAGUAGCAAUACACCUGCGCGCCGGGAACUUGGUCAAACUUGAUCAUUUAGAGGAAGUAAAAGUCGUAACA
rnacentral:rRNA from 1 species